rnacentral:pre_miRNA from 1 species
UACGGUGAGCCUGUCAUUAUUCAGAGAGGCUAGAUCCUCUGUGUCGAGAAGGAUCAUGAUGGGCUCCUCGGUGU